CAAUCAGCUGCUGCCAGAGGCUUGCCAGAAGCAGCAGCAGCAGCAACAACAACAACAACUGCAGCAGCAGCCGCCGCAACUGCGGCAUCGACAAUUUCUUUGUAAAAAGCUAUUACAUGUACCAUUAAGGCUUAGUUUUUCAUAGUUAACCUACCCAUUGAUUUCCUUUUGGCAUUUUAAUGCUAACCAACAUGAUGGAAGCCCAUAUAUUUUAUACAAAACGGUUUCCAUUUUAAAGCUGCAGAGUUUUGUUUUUACUUUUAGUCUACAACGCCAAGUGCGUUGGACAUAUACAUACCAUAGAAAACGGACAACAACAACAACAAGAACAACAUUUAAAGCGGCUUGAAGAAAACAAUUCGCUAAUAUUUUGUCUUAAGGUUUUCUUCCCAAUAAUAUUUGUUGUACAUCUUUUUUACUUCCCACAGCUGGUAUUAAGGAAUGACUAGAGUGCGGAUGAAGUAAAGAGUGUGUAAGAAAGAGAGAGAGAGAGAGACAACAUGAAUCACAGAAACGAAAGAACAACAACAACAACAACAAAUUGCAAACCAGAAAAGAACUUAGCUAUGAAUUUUAGAAUCUAUUCUCUUCUAUUUGCCCUAUUUUCUUUCUGAUUUUCCAAUUUUCAUCUGGUUUUAUUUCAAUCUUUGUUUUCUUCUUCUUCUAGUUGUACGCUGAAAAUUUGAAACAAUUAUGUUCGUUUUUCUAAGAAAAGAUAACUGAAAAAAGGUAAUAACAAAAAAUAUAUAAUUGAAAUGAA